ACAUAAAAAUGGUAUUCCAGCAAAGAUUCAGGCCUUCUGCGCAGACGUGCUGUUGGAGGAGGACCCUGCCUCCGCGGCAGAGGCUGAAGAGGGCAAGAAGGAGGCGGCUUUGGAGAAGCUGCAAGCUACGAGAGUGAGGAAUCUGCAAGCAAGUCACGAGGCCGAAGAUGCAAGUUGCAGAAGAUGGAGGAGAAGGAAAGGGACCCUUGACACUGGCAACUCUUGCGUAGGCAGGCUCAGGAAGCAGAUCCGCAUUCCCUGUUGCUCCUGAGCGCCUUUGCUGCCCAGAGCAGCGUGGCCGCCCUGUAACGAGGGCCGUGCUCUCCGCUCAGCUGGCCGUUUGCCCAGCUACCGCUUUUGGCGGCCGCCGAGAGUGACUGCCCUGUAAGGAGGGUGGAAGUCACCGUGCUGCCCCUUUGAGGGGGAGAGGGGGAGAGGGAGCUCUUCAGAUGCCUGAGGCGUGGGACCAGCCCAUAAACUGGGUGCUGGUCUCUGCACGGGUGGCGCUAUGCUGUGCAGUGGCGGCCUGCCUCGCGUGGCCCCCCGUAACCGGGGCGGGAGCCGCGAGCUACGUAAUUCUAGGCCGUUGGUACCCGGAGCUGCCUGCCCGCCCCGUAAUCGGGGUCGAGGUCUCUGCCCGCAGGGCUUCAUGCCCGCGUGGCCGUUACUGGGGCCGGGCUGCCCUGUAACUCAGGCGCGUAGCCCCAGGCUUCACUGUCUCGGUGCGUGCCGUGUGCUGCACUUUGAGAGGAGGUGUGGAGGCCUUUUGGGUGUCAGUAUUGGCCCCUGCCGGUAGGCUGGAUGUAGUGUUAUACCUCCCUGUCCGUGGGAGAAGAGGAGGCCGGAGGCAGUGCUGCAGUGUGCUCUUUUUUUCUCUUCUGGGAAGCUUUUUGUUUGGUGUGUCUGUUGGUGUGCGUGGGGAUGAGCGUGGCUGUUGUGGAAGGUGUUGCUCUGCGUGUUUAGGCCCUAACUUACUGCAGCGUACUUCAUUUAGUCUUCCCAGUGGCAGAAAAUGAGACCCAUUGUAUGCACUAACCAAAGGAUCCUCCUGCCUUCCCCCAGAAGGGACUGGUGUGGGUAGAGGACACGUCCGCUUGCUGUUGAGGAGAAGGCAGGCUCCUUAUGAGCCCCUUUGGCAGGUACUCGGCCCGAUCUGCUUGUAAAGUGAGGAGCAGGUCAGCGUCCUCUGAGGCCCCUUCCCCAUCCAUCGGUGUCCAGAGUCCUGGCCCUUCCUCCCUGGCCUCCCACGCCCCCGGACGGCUGCGGCGAAGCCUCAGGCCUUCUGCGCAGACGUGCUCUUGGAGGAGGACCCUGCCUCCGCGGCAGAGGCUGAAGAGGGCAAGAAGGAGGCGGCUUUGGAGAAGCUGCAAGCUACGAGAGUGAGGAAUCUGCAAGCAAGUCACGAGGCCGAAGAUGCAAGUUGCAGAAGAUGGAGGAGAAGGAAAGGGACCCUUGACACUGGCAACUCUUGCGUAGGCAGGCUCAGGAAGCAGAUCCGCAUUCCCUGUUGCUCCUGAGCGCCUUUGCUGCCCAGAGCAGCGUGGCCGCCCUGUAACGAGGGCCGUGCUCUCCGCUCAGCUGGCCGUUUGCCCAGCUACCGCUUUUGGCGGCCGCCGAGAGUGACUGCCCUGUAAGGAGGGUGGAAGUCACCGUGCUGCCCCUUUGAGGGGGAGAGGGGGAGAGGGAGCUCUUCAGAUGCCUGAGGCGUGGGACCAGCCCAUAAACUGGGUGCUGGUCUCUGCACGGGUGGCGCUAUGCUGUGCAGUGGCGGCCUGCCUCGCGUGGCCCCCCGUAACCGGGGCGGGAGCCGCGAGCUACGUAAUUCUAGGCCGUUGGUACCCGGAGCUGCCUGCCCGCCCCGUAAUCGGGGUCGAGGUCUCUGCCCGCAGGGCUUCAUGCCCGCGUGGCCGUUACUGGGGCCGGGCUGCCCUGUAACUCAGGCGCGUAGCCCCAGGCUUCACUGUCUCGGUGCGUGCCGUGUGCUGCACUUUGAGAGGAGGUGUGGAGGCCUUUUGGGUGUCAGUAUUGGCCCCUGCCGGUAGGCUGGAUGUAGUGUUAUACCUCCCUGUCCGUGGGAGAAGAGGAGGCCGGAGGCAGUGCUGCAGUGUGCUCUUUUUUUCUCUUCUGGGAAGCUUUUUGUUUGGUGUGUCUGUUGGUGUGCGUGGGGAUGAGCGUGGCUGUUGUGGAAGGUGUUGCUCUGCGUGUUUAGGCCCUAACUUACUGCAGCGUACUUCAUUUAGUCUUCCCAGUGGCAGAAAAUGAGACCCAUUGUAUGCACUAACCAAAGGAUCCUCCUGCCUUCCCCCAGAAGGGACUGGUGUGGGUAGAGGACACGUCCGCUUGCUGUUGAGGAGAAGGCAGGCUCCUUAUGAGCCCCUUUGGCAGGUACUCGGCCCGAUCUGCUUGUAAAGUGAGGAGCAGGUCAGCGUCCUUUGAGGCCCCUUCCCCAUCCAUCGGUGUCCAGAGUCCUGGCCCUUCCUCCCUGGCCUCCCACGCCCCCGGACGGCUGCGGCGAAGCCUCAGGCCUUCUGCGCAGACGUGCUCUUGGAGGAGGACCCUGCCUCCGCGGCAGAGGCUGAAGAGGGCAAGAAGGAGGCGGCUUUGGAGAAGCUGCAAGCUACGAGAGUGAGGAAUCUGCAAGCAAGUCACGAGGCCGAAGAUGCAAGUUGCAGAAGAUGGAGGAGAAGGAAAGGGACCCUUGACACUGGCAACUCUUGCGUAGGCAGGCUCAGGAAGCAGAUCCGCAUUCCCUGUUGCUCCUGAGCGCCUUUGCUGCCCAGAGCAGCGUGGCCGCCCUGUAACGAGGGCCGUGCUCUCCGCUCAGCUGGCCGUUUGCCCAGCUACCGCUUUUGGCGGCCGCCGAGAGUGACUGCCCUGUAAGGAGGGUGGAAGUCACCGUGCUGCCCCUUUGAGGGGGAGAGGGGGAGAGGGAGCUCUUCAGAUGCCUGAGGCGUGGGACCAGCCCAUAAACUGGGUGCUGGUCUCUGCACGGGUGGCGCUAUGCUGUGCAGUGGCGGCCUGCCUCGCGUGGCCCCCCGUAACCGGGGCGGGAGCCGCGAGCUACGUAAUUCUAGGCCGUUGGUACCCGGAGCUGCCUGCCCGCCCCGUAAUCGGGGUCGAGGUCUCUGCCCGCAGGGCUUCAUGCCCGUGUGGCCGUUACUGGGGCCGGGCUGCCCUGUAACUCAGGCGCGUAGCCCCAGGCUUCACUGUCUCGGUGCGUGCCGUGUGCUGCACUUUGAGAGGAGGUGUGGAGGCCUUUUGGGUGUCAGUAUUGGCCCCUGCCGGUAGGCUGGAUGUAGUGUUAUACCUCCCUGUCCGUGGGAGAAGAGGAGGCCGGAGGCAGUGCUGCAGUGUGCUCUUUUUUUCUCUUCUGGGAAGCUUUUUGUUUGGUGUGUCUGUUGGUGUGCGUGGGGAUGAGCGUGGCUGUUGUGGAAGGUGUUGCUCUGCGUGUUUAGGCCCUAACUUACUGCAGCGUACUUCAUUUAGUCUUCCCAGUGGCAGAAAAUGAGACCCAUUGUAUGCACUAACCAAAGGAUCCUCCUGCCUUCCCCCAGAAGGGACUGGUGUGGGUAGAGGACACGUCCGCUUGCUGUUGAGGAGAAGGCAGGCUCCUUAUGAGCCCCUUUGGCAGGUACUCGGCCCGAUCUGCUUGUAAAGUGAGGAGCAGGUCAGCGUCCUUUGAGGCCCCUUCCCCAUCCAUCGGUGUCCAGAGUCCUGGCCCUUCCUCCCUGGCCUCCCACGCCCCCGGACGGCUGCGGCGAAGCCUCAGGCCUUCUGCGCAGACGUGCUCUUGGAGGAGGACCCUGCCUCCGCGGCAGAGGCUGAAGAGGGCAAGAAGGAGGCGGCUUUGGAGAAGCUGCAAGCUACGAGAGUGAGGAAUCUGCAAGCAAGUCACGAGGCCGAAGAUGCAAGUUGCAGAAGAUGGAGGAGAAGGAAAGGGACCCUUGACACUGGCAACUCUUGCGUAGGCAGGCUCAGGAAGCAGAUCCGCAUUCCCUGUUGCUCCUGAGCGCCUUUGCUGCCCAGAGCAGCGUGGCCGCCCUGUAACGAGGGCCGUGCUCUCCGCUCAGCUGGCCGUUUGCCCAGCUACCGCUUUUGGCGGCCGCCGAGAGUGACUGCCCUGUAAGGAGGGUGGAAGUCACCGUGCUGCCCCUUUGAGGGGGAGAGGGGGAGAGGGAGCUCUUCAGAUGCCUGAGGCGUGGGACCAGCCCAUAAACUGGGUGCUGGUCUCUGCACGGGUGGCGCUAUGCUGUGCAGUGGCGGCCUGCCUCGCGUGGCCCCCCGUAACCGGGGCGGGAGCCGCGAGCUACGUAAUUCUAGGCCGUUGGUACCCGGAGCUGCCUGCCCGCCCCGUAAUCGGGGUCGAGGUCUCUGCCUGCAGGGCUUCAUGCCCGUGUGGCCGUUACUGGGGCCGGGCUGCCCUGUAACUCAGGCGCGUAGCCCCAGGCUUCACUGUCUCGGUGCGUGCCGUGUGCUGCACUUUGAGAGGAGGUGUGGAGGCCUUUUGGGUGUCAGUAUUGGCCCCUGCCGGUAGGCUGGAUGUAGUGUUAUACCUCCCUGUCCGUGGGAGAAGAGGAGGCCGGAGGCAGUGCUGCAGUGUGCUCUUUUUUUCUCUUCUGGGAAGCUUUUUGUUUGGUGUGUCUGUUGGUGUGCGUGGGGAUGAGCGUGGCUGUUGUGGAAGGUGUUGCUCUGCGUGUUUAGGCCCUAACUUACUGCAGCGUACUUUAUUUAGUCUUCCCAGUGGCAGAAAAUGAGACCCAUUGUAUGCACUAACCAAAGGAUCCUCCUGCCUUCCCCCAGAAGGGACUGGUGUGGGUAGAGGACACGUCCGCUUGCUGUUGAGGAGAAGGCAGGCUCCUUAUGAGCCCCUUUGGCAGGUACUCGGCCCGAUCUGCUUGUAAAGUGAGGAGCAGGUCAGCGUCCUUUGAGGCCCCUUCCCCAUCCAUCGGUGUCCAGAGUCCUGGCCCUUCCUCCCUGGCCUCCCACGCCCCCGGACGGCUGCGGCGAAGCCUCAGGCCUUCUGCGCAGACGUGCUCUUGGAGGAGGACCCUGCCUCCGCGGCAGAGGCUGAAGAGGGCAAGAAGGAGGCGGCUUUGGAGAAGCUGCAAGCUACGAGAGUGAGGAAUCUGCAAGCAAGUCACGAGGCCGAAGAUGCAAGUUGCAGAAGAUGGAGGAGAAGGAAAGGGACCCUUGACACUGGCAACUCUUGCGUAGGCAGGCUCAGGAAGCAGAUCCGCAUUCCCUGUUGCUCCUGAGCGCCUUUGCUGCCCAGAGCAGCGUGGCCGCCCUGUAACGAGGGCCGUGCUCUCCGCUCAGCUGGCCGUUUGCCCAGCUACCGCUUUUGGCGGCCGCCGAGAGUGACUGCCCUGUAAGGAGGGUGGAAGUCACCGUGCUGCCCCUUUGAGGGGGAGAGGGGGAGAGGGAGCUCUUCAGAUGCCUGAGGCGUGGGACCAGCCCAUAAACUGGGUGCUGGUCUCUGCACGGGUGGCGCUAUGCUGUGCAGUGGCGGCCUGCCUCGCGUGGCCCCCCGUAACCGGGGCGGGAGCCGCGAGCUACGUAAUUCUAGGCCGUUGGUACCCGGAGCUGCCUGCCCGCCCCGUAAUCGGGGUCGAGGUCUCUGCCCGCAGGGCUUCAUGCCCGCGUGGCCGUUACUGGGGCCGGGCUGCCCUGUAACUCAGGCGCGUAGCCCCAGGCUUCACUGUCUCGGUGCGUGCCGUGUGCUGCACUUUGAGAGGAGGUGUGGAGGCCUUUUGGGUGUCAGUAUUGGCCCCUGCCGGUAGGCUGGAUGUAGUGUUAUACCUCCCUGUCCGUGGGAGAAGAGGAGGCCGGAGGCAGUGCUGCAGUGUGCUCUUUUUUUCUCUUCUGGGAAGCUUUUUGUUUGGUGUGUCUGUUGGUGUGCGUGGGGAUGAGCGUGGCUGUUGUGGAAGGUGUUGCUCUGCGUGUUUAGGCCCUAACUUACUGCAGCGUACUUUAUUUAGUCUUCCCAGCGGCAGAAAAUGAGACCCAUUGUAUGCACUAACCAAAGGAUCCUCCUGCCUUCCCCCAGAAGGGACUGGUGUGGGUAGAGGACACGUCCGCUUGCUGUUGAGGAGAAGGCAGGCUCCUUAUGAGCCCCUUUGGCAGGUACUCGGCCCGAUCUGCUUGUAAAGUGAGGAGCAGGUCAGCGUCCUCUGAGGCCCCUUCCCCAUCCAUCGGUGUCCAGAGUCCUGGCCCUUCCUCCCUGGCCUCCCACGCCCCCGGACGGCUGCGGCGAAGCCUCAGGCCUUCUGCACAGACAUGCUCUUGGAGGAGGACCCUGCCUCCGCGGCAGAGGCUGAAGAGGGCAAGAAGGAGGCGGCUUUGGAGAAGCUGCAAGCUACGAGAGUGAGGAAUCUGCAAGCAAGUCACGAGGCCGAAGAUGCAAGUUGCAGAAGAUGGAGGAGAAGGAAAGGGACCCUUGACACUGGCAACUCUUGCGUAGGCAGGCUCAGGAAGCAGAUCCGCAUUCCCUGUUGCUCCUGAGCGCCUUUGCUGCCCAGAGCAGCGUGGCCGCCCUGUAACGAGGGCCGUGCUCUCCGCUCAGCUGGCCGUUUGCCCAGCUACCGCUUUUGGCGGCCGCCGAGAGUGACUGCCCUGUAAGGAGGGUGGAAGUCACCGUGCUGCCCCUUUGAGGGGGAGAGGGGGAGAGGGAGCUCUUCAGAUGCCUGAGGCGUGGGACCAGCCCAUAAACUGGGUGCUGGUCUCUGCACGGGUGGCGCUAUGCUGUGCAGUGGCGGCCUGCCUCGCGUGGCCCCCCGUAACCGGGGCGGGAGCCGCGAGCUACGUAAUUCUAGGCCGUUGGUACCCGGAGCUGCCUGCCCGCCCCGUAAUCGGGGUCGAGGUCUCUGCCCGCAGGGCUUCAUGCCCGCGUGGCCGUUACUGGGGCCGGGCUGCCCUGUAACUCAGGCGCGUAGCCCCAGGCUUCACUGUCUCGGUGCGUGCCGUGUGCUGCACUUUGAGAGGAGGUGUGGAGGCCUUUUGGGUGUCAGUAUUGGCCCCUGCCGGUAGGCUGGAUGUAGUGUUAUACCUCCCUGUCCGUGGGAGAAGAGGAGGCCGGAGGCAGUGCUGCAGUGUGCUCUUUUUUUCUCUUCUGGGAAGCUUUUUGUUUGGUGUGUCUGUUGGUGUGCGUGGGGAUGAGCGUGGCUGUUGUGGAAGGUGUUGCUCUGCGUGUUUAGGCCCUAACUUACUGCAGCGUACUUUAUUUAGUCUUCCCAGCGGCAGAAAAUGAGACCCAUUGUAUGCACUAACCAAAGGAUCCUCCUGCCUUCCCCCAGAAGGGACUGGUGUGGGUAGAGGACACGUCCGCUUGCUGUUGAGGAGAAGGCAGGCUCCUUAUGAGCCCCUUUGGCAGGUACUCGGCCCGAUCUGCUUGUAAAGUGAGGAGCAGGUCAGCGUCCUCUGAGGCCCCUUCCCCAUCCAUCGGUGUCCAGAGUCCUGGCCCUUCCUCCCUGGCCUCCCACGCCCCCGGACGGCUGCGGCGAAGCCUCAGGCCUUCUGCGCAGACGUGCUCUUGGAGGAGGACCCUGCCUCCGCGGCAGAGGCUGAAGAGGGCAAGAAGGAGGCGGCUUUGGAGAAGCUGCAAGCUACGAGAGUGAGGAAUCUGCAAGCAAGUCACGAGGCCGAAGAUGCAAGUUGCAGAAGAUGGAGGAGAAGGAAAGGGACCCUUGACACUGGCAACUCUUGCGUAGGCAGGCUCAGGAAGCAGAUCCGCAUUCCCUGUUGCUCCUGAGCGCCUUUGCUGCCCAGAGCAGCGUGGCCGCCCUGUAACGAGGGCCGUGCUCUCCGCUCAGCUGGCCGUUUGCCCAGCUACCGCUUUUGGCGGCCGCCGAGAGUGACUGCCCUGUAAGGAGGGUGGAAGUCACCGUGCUGCCCCUUUGAGGGGGAGAGGGGGAGAGGGAGCUCUUCAGAUGCCUGAGGCGUGGGACCAGCCCAUAAACUGGGUGCUGGUCUCUGCACGGGUGGCGCUAUGCUGUGCAGUGGCGGCCUGCCUCGCGUGGCCCCCCGUAACCGGGGCGGGAGCCGCGAGCUACGUAAUUCUAGGCCGUUGGUACCCGGAGCUGCCUGCCCGCCCCGUAAUCGGGGUCGAGGUCUCUGCCCGCAGGGCUUCAUGCUCGUGUGGCCGUUACUGGGGCCGGGCUGCCCUGUAACUCAGGCGCGUAGCCCCAGGCUUCACUGUCUCGGUGCGUGCCGUGUGCUGCACUUUGAGAGGAGGUGUGGAGGCCUUUUGGGUGUCAGUAUUGGCCCCUGCCGGUAGGCUGGAUGUAGUGUUAUACCUCCCUGUCCGUGGGAGAAGAGGAGGCCGGAGGCAGUGCUGCAGUGUGCUCUUUUUUUCUCUUCUGGGAAGCUUUUUGUUUGGUGUGUCUGUUGGUGUGCGUGGGGAUGAGCGUGGCUGUUGUGGAAGGUGUUGCUCUGCGUGUUUAGGCCCUAACUUACUGCAGCGUACUUCAUUUAGUCUUCCCAGUGGCAGAAAAUGAGACCCAUUGUAUGCACUAACCAAAGGAUCCUCCUGCCUUCCCCCAGAAGGGACUGGUGUGGGUAGAGGACACGUCCGCUUGCUGUUGAGGAGAAGGCAGGCUCCUUAUGAGCCCCUUUGGCAGGUACUCGGCCCGAUCUGCUUGUAAAGUGAGGAGCAGGUCAGCGUCCUUUGAGGCCCCUUCCCCAUCCAUCGGUGUCCAGAGUCCUGGCCCUUCCUCCCUGGCCUCCCACGCCCCCGGACGGCUGCGGCGAAGCCUCAGGCCUUCUGCGCAGACGUGCUCUUGGAGGAGGACCCUGCCUCCGCGGCAGAGGCUGAAGAGGGCAAGAAGGAGGCGGCUUUGGAGAAGCUGCAAGCUACGAGAGUGAGGAAUCUGCAAGCAAGUCACGAGGCCGAAGAUGCAAGUUGCAGAAGAUGGAGGAGAAGGAAAGGGACCCUUGACACUGGCAACUCUUGCGUAGGCAGGCUCAGGAAGCAGAUCCGCAUUCCCUGUUGCUCCUGAGCGCCUUUGCUGCCCAGAGCAGCGUGGCCGCCCUGUAACGAGGGCCGUGCUCUCCGCUCAGCUGGCCGUUUGCCCAGCUACCGCUUUUGGCGGCCGCCGAGAGUGACUGCCCUGUAAGGAGGGUGGAAGUCACCGUGCUGCCCCUUUGAGGGGGAGAGGGGGAGAGGGAGCUCUUCAGAUGCCUGAGGCGUGGGACCAGCCCAUAAACUGGGUGCUGGUCUCUGCACGGGUGGCGCUAUGCUGUGCAGUGGCGGCCUGCCUCGCGUGGCCCCCCGUAACCGGGGCGGGAGCCGCGAGCUACGUAAUUCUAGGCCGUUGGUACCCGGAGCUGCCUGCCCGCCCCGUAAUCGGGGUCGAGGUCUCUGCCCGCAGGGCUUCAUGCCCGCGUGGCCGUUACUGGGGCCGGGCUGCCCUGUAACUCAGGCGCGUAGCCCCAGGCUUCACUGUCUCGGUGCGUGCCGUGUGCUGCACUUUGAGAGGAGGUGUGGAGGCCUUUUGGGUGUCAGUAUUGGCCCCUGCCGGUAGGCUGGAUGUAGUGUUAUACCUCCCUGUCCGUGGGAGAAGAGGAGGCCGGAGGCAGUGCUGCAGUGUGCUCUUUUUUUCUCUUCUGGGAAGCUUUUUGUUUGGUGUGUCUGUUGGUGUGCGUGGGGAUGAGCGUGGCUGUUGUGGAAGGUGUUGCUCUGCGUGUUUAGGCCCUAACUUACUGCAGCGUACUUUAUUUAGUCUUCCCAGCGGCAGAAAAUGAGACCCAUUGUAUGCACUAACCAAAGGAUCCUCCUGCCUUCCCCCAGAAGGGACUGGUGUGGGUAGAGGACACGUCCGCUUGCUGUUGAGGAGAAGGCAGGCUCCUUAUGAGCCCCUUUGGCAGGUACUCGGCCCGAUCUGCUUGUAAAGUGAGGAGCAGGUCAGCGUCCUCUGAGGCCCCUUCCCCAUCCAUCGGUGUCCAGAGUCCUGGCCCUUCCUCCCUGGCCUCCCACGCCCCCGGACGGCUGCGGCGAAGCCUCAGGCCUUCUGCACAGACAUGCUCUUGGAGGAGGACCCUGCCUCCGCGGCAGAGGCUGAAGAGGGCAAGAAGGAGGCGGCUUUGGAGAAGCUGCAAGCUACGAGAGUGAGGAAUCUGCAAGCAGUGUCCAGAAUCCUAGUCCUUCUUCCCUGGCCUCCAUCAAACCCAGAUACUCUGGGAAACCACCUUCACCUCUCAAUAAAGCAUGUCUUUAAAUCCA